GAAAUGCGAUAAUUAAUGUGAAUUGCAGAAUUCAGUGAAUCAUCGAGUCUUUGAACGCACAUUGCGCCCCCUGGUAUUCCGGGGGGCAUGCCUGUCCGAGCGUCAUUGCUGCCCUCAAGCACGGCUUGUGUGUUGGGCUUCCGUCCCUGGCAACGGGGACGGGCCCAAAAGGCAGUGGCGGCACCAUGUCUGGUCCUCGAGCGUAUGGGGCUUUGUCACCCGCUCCCGUAGGUCCAGCUGGCAGCUAGCCUCGCAACCAAUCUUUUUAACCAGGUUGACCUCGGAUAAGGUAGGGAUACCCGCUGAACUUAAGC
rnacentral:misc_RNA from 1 species